GCACGAAGGUUGGUGGACCUAUGAAUUCUGCUAUUAUGGGAAAAUCCGACAGGUUCAUGUGGAGGGUGAGAAGGUUAUUCAAGAGUAUGUUCUAGGUGAAUUUGAUGCUGAUGCAACUGAUGCUUACCAUGAAAAUCACACCUCUGAGUCUGAUGAUGAGGAUCAUGUGAAAGAUACUUCUAAGCGAUAUCAUGUCCACCUGUACUCAAAUGGGACUGUCUGUG